rnacentral:rRNA from 1 species
UACGUAGGGGGCAAGCGUUGUCCGGAAUUACUGGGCGUAAAGGGCGCGUAGGCGGCGCGAGGAGUCGGGGGUGAAAGUCCGGGGCUCAACCCCGGAUCGGCCUUCGAUACUCUCGCGCUGGAGCACAGUAGAGGCGGGUGGAAUUCCGGGUGUAGCGGUGGAAUGCGUAGAGAUCCGGAAGAACACCGGUGGCGAAGGCGGCCCGCUGGGCUGUGGCUGACGCUGAGGCGCGACAGCGUGGGGAGCAAACAGG